ensembl:miRNA
UCAGCUAGCUUAUCAGACUGGUGUUGGCUGUUAAAUUAACAUGGCAACAACGGUCUGUAGGCUGGCUGAAGUUGUUGGCCU